rnacentral:rRNA from 1 species
AUAUUGGACAAUGGGCGAGAGCCUGAUCCAGCCAUGCCGCGUGCAGGAAGACGGCCCUAUGGGUUGUAAACUGCUUUUAUACAGGAAGAAACACUCCCUCGUGAGGGAGCUUGACGGUACUGUAGGAAUAAGGAUCGGCUAACUCCGUGCCAGCAGCCGCGGUAAUACGGAGGAUCCAAGCGUUAUCCGGAAUCAUUGGGUUUAAAGGGUCCGUAGGCGGGAUAAUAAGUCAGCGGUGAAAGUCUGUGGCUCAACCAUAGAAUUGCCAUUGAUACUGUUGUUCUUGAGUGUUUAUGAAGUGGUUAGAAUAUGUAGUGUAGCGGUGAAAUGCUUAGAUAUUACAUGGAAUACCGAUUGCGAAGGCAGAUCACUAAUAAAAUACUGACGCUGAUGGACGAAAGCGUAGGUAGCGAACAGG